rnacentral:rRNA from 1 species
GAAAGACCCUAUGAAGCUUGACUGUAUCUUGGAAUUGGGUUCGGGCUUCUCUUGCGCAGACUAGGUGGGAGGCUAUGAAGAUUUCCUUCCGGGGAAGUUGGAGCCACCAGUGAGAGACCACUCUGGAGAGGCUAGAAUCCUAAUGGUGAUCCUUGAAUCAGGACACUUGACAGUUUCAGGUGGGCAGUUUUUCUGGGGCGGAAGCCUCAUAAAAGGUAACUGAGGCGCGCAAUGGUCCCCUCAGUCUGGACGGAAAUCAGACAUUGAGUGUAAAGGCAAAAGGGGGCUUGACUGCAAGACCUACAAGUCGAGCAGGAGCGAAAGCUGGCCUUAGUGAUCCGACGGUGCCGUGUGGAAGGGCCGUCGCUCAACGAAUAAAAGUUACUCUAGGGA